GGUGCUUAGCUCAGCGGCAGAGCGGCCUCCUUACGCUGCGCAGGUCGAUAGUUCGAGACUUUCAGCACACA
rnacentral:tRNA from 1 species